AGGAGGGGGCCUGCUGAGAGGGGAUGUCAUACGUUGCCAUGGGAACAAUGAUCAGGAAAGGUCUCAAGGUUGCUGUGACCUUCCCCUAGCCUUACACUUGAGAUUUGUACCAGAAGUGGGUGGCCCCAAAGCAAGGAUUACAAACUGACCAGGCCCUGGAGAAGACUAGCUAUCUCCACGCAGGCUUAUUGGAAGUGCACAGAGAGCUGAGUUAAUUAUUUACCGUAGAGAUUUUUUUUUUCUAAGAGCAAAGCCUCCUUGGGAAACCAAACUUAGAUCUAGAGAAGGCUUGGCGAAGAUUCAGAAGUGAGGGGGCAGUAUCAGUCUCUUCCAUGAGAACAGAGACCUUUCCAGUACUGUUCACUGCCUGAUUUCCAACUCCUGGAAUUGAGCCUGGUUCUCUGCGGGUCCUGGGUAACUAUUUGAAAAACUGAAGGAAGGUGGGUGUGGCCUUGAGCCAGCCAGCGUUCUCUUUCGUAGUCACGAAUACUUACCUGCGGUGUAAUUUUCCCACUUCUUCCAUUUACCCCUUUCGCAUUAUCUCCCUGCCCCCAAUUCUCCAGUGGCUCCCCAUCUCCGGCAAGAUAAAAUCAAUCAGAAACCCACUGCUGUCAAUCACCUGUCCCUUCUCUUUUGCUAAAGCUUUUUAUUUAUUUAUUUUACUGUUCCAGCAGUACUGAAAUAGCUCCGUCAUUUUAGAAAAUGUGCUUCCUUACACAUCUGUGUCCUCCCCUGCCUGUUUCCCUUCUAUCUGACAGCUCCUACUUCUUCCCCAUGAAGCAUAUAACCUCCUCAAGAAAGUCCUCCAUCACUCAGGUAAGCAGACUUCCUAGCCCCCCCCCUGCCCCCCCCACCCAUUCUGUCCCCUAAGCUUGUCAUAUAGUGCUGUUACUUUCUGUUUAGGGUUCAGUCUCCCUUGGGUAGAGUUGCUUAUCUUUUUCUCAAUGGAUAUUAGGUACCUAGUUCAGCGAUUGCAGAUAUUAAGAAAACAUCCUAUUAGUUGAUUAAAUGUUGAAAGUGCCCCUUUCGAGAGUGAUUAUAUCAAUCAUUAUGUAUUGGUCCCCUAGGUAUUCACAGAAAGAAUUGCAGUUAUAUAACAACAGAAACUUAACGUUUAUUGGGUCCCAACUAGGUGCCAAAUAUUACAUCAAGUGGUUUUCAUUUCUUGUUUAAUCCCCACAACAAACCUGAGAGGUAGAUAUUAUCAUUUCCAUUUUAUUGGUGAAAGAACUAAAGCUCAAAGGUGAAAUAAUUGCACAAAUUUACACAA